GCGAGCGUGGCGGAAUGGCAGACGCGCUAGAUUCAGGAUCUAGUGGGAAAAACUCCCGUGGAGGUUCAAAUCCUCUCGCUCGCACCA
rnacentral:tRNA from 1 species